UCCCUGGUGGUCCAGUGGUUAGGAUUCUGCACUUCCACUGCAGGAGGCACAGGCUACAUCCUUGGUCAGGGAA
rnacentral:tRNA from 1 species